rnacentral:rRNA from 1 species
AGGUGCGAUCAUACCAGCACUAAUGCACCGGAUCCCAUCAGAACUCCGCAGUUAAGGGUGCUUGGGCUAGAGUAGUACUAGAAUGGUUGAACUCCUGGGAAGUCCUCUUGUUGCACCUCUUU